rnacentral:ncRNA from 1 species
AGCAGGACGGUGGCCAUGGAAGUUGGAAUCCGCUAAGGAGUGUGUAACAACUCAACCUGCUGA